CCUACGGGAGGCAGCAGUGAGGAAUAUUGGUCAAUGGGCGAGAGCCUGAACCAGCCAAGUCGCGUGAGGGAGUACUGCCCUAUGGGUUGUAAACCUCUUUUGUCGGGGAGCAAAAGCCGGACGUUUCCGGCUGUUGUCGUACCCGCAUAAAAAGCAUCGGCUAACUCCGUUCCAGCAGCCGCGGUAAUACGGAGGAUGCGAGCGUUAUCCGGGUUUAUUGGGUUUAAAGGGUGCGCAGGCGGAGUUUUAAGUCAGCGGUAAAAUCGUGGGGCUCAACCCCCUCCAGCCGUUGAAACUGGGGAUCUAGAGUGUGCGAGAGGUAGGCGGAAUGCGUGGUGUAGCGGUGAAAUGCAUAGAUAUCACGCAGAACCCCGAUUGCGAAGGCAGCAUACCGGUGCACAACUGACGCUCAGGCACGAAAGCGUGGGUAUCGAACAGGAUUAGAUACCCCUGUAGUC
rnacentral:rRNA from 1 species